rnacentral:rRNA from 1 species
AUUGAACGCUGGCGGAAUGCUUUACACAUGCAAGUCGGGCGGCAGCGCGGGGGCAACCCUGGCGGCGAGCGGCGAACGGGUGAGUAAUGCAUCGGAACGUACCCAGUCGUGGGGGAUAACUGUCCGAAAGGACAGCUAAUACCGCAUACGACCUGAGGGUGAAAGCGGGGGAUCGCAAGACCUCGCGCGAUUGGAGCGGCCGAUGUCGGAUUAGCUAGUUGGUGGGGUAAAGGCCCACCAAGGCGACGAUCUGUAGCUGGUCUGAGAGGACGACCAGCCACACUGGAACUGAGACACGGUCCAGACUCCUACAGGAGGCAGCAGUGGGGAAUUUUGGACAAUGGGGGCAACCCUGAUCCAGCCAUUCCGCGUGAGUGAAGAAGGCCUUCGGGUUGUAAAGCUCUUUCGGCAGGAACGAAACGGUCGUCGCUAAUACCGAUGGCUAAUGACGGUACCUGAAGAAGAAGCACCGGCUAACUACGUGCCAGCCGCCGCAGUAA